UUCGCAAUGCCCGAAAGGGUGACGAAGCGACGCCGCGUGUGGGAAGAAGGCCUUCGGGUUGUAAACCGCUGUCGGGAGUUAAGAAAUGCAAGGGUGUUAAUAGUAUCCUUGCUUGACUAAGGCUCCGGAGGAAGCCACGGCUAACUCUGUGCCAGCAGCCGCGGUAAGACAGAGGUGGCGAGCGUUGUUCGGAAUCACUGGGCUUAAAGAGCACGUAGGCGGCUGAGUAUGUCCGGUGUGAAAGCCCUUGGCCUAACCGAGGAACUGCGCCGGAAACUGCUCGGCUUGAGGGUAGGAGAGGAGAGUGGAACUCCUGGUGUAGCGGUGAAAUGCGUAGAUAUCAGGAGGAACGCCGGAGGCGAAAGCGACUCUCUGGCCUGACCCUGACGCUGUGGUGCGAAAGCUAGGGGCGCGAACGGGAUUAGAUACCCCGGUAGUCCUAACUGUAAACGAUGGGCACUAAGUAGAGGGGUUUU
rnacentral:rRNA from 1 species